UGAAGGGGAUGGCCUCCAAGCUCAAUGCCGGCCAUUCGGGCGUGUUGACGUGUUGCCGGAGAACGCCGGCGAGAUCGGAUCUCUACUCUGUAGUACUUGCUACUGACAUCGUAUGCGGCGCGGUGCAGGUGCUCGCAGUUGUGCUCGCGACGGUGGACGGUGGCCACUGGCCAGGGACCAAUAGCCUGUAGAUCUAGUCCGGGACGAGGGUGGGGACUGGGGAGUUGCCCCUCGGCGGCGGUCGGCGGCCGACGGAGCCCGAGACGCUCGACUGUUUCAGUAAGAAAUUCAGUCCCAUACUCCACUACUCCUCUUCGGGUAUACUAAUCUACUCUUGUACCGUGCUUGCUACUCGUCUCCCCUAUUGGUUCCUAAUCUAAAACUCAGCUCACAAGUCACACCUACUGGGUGGUCUUCGUUCUUCUCCCGAUAGUAGUAACAUUUUAAAUCCUUAUUAGAUUUUUUUGGUAUAAACAUCUCCAUGAAACUCAAGUAAAUAAAUUCCUUCAAAAUUUGCCGUGACAUUCAAAAAGUCCUUUUUUUUGCCCCCUCGGACACGCAGGAGGGGAGCCAUGGUAUGACAUUGACACGGGGAAACUGAAAAAAAAAACAGGGAGACAUGUCGAGAAGCAGCACCUGCGUUCAUACACAGAAAGUUGGAAACGAAAUUAGGUCGGCUUAGGUUUUUAUUUAUAUAUAGUCUGAUGGCUUAGUUUGAUCACACAAGUUGCUUGCCCUGAUCCCACUAAGCUAAUCGCAAUUUGAAGCUUGGGUCCCAUGAUGGCUUAGAUUUUUAUUUAUAUAUAUAGUCUGAUGAGGGUUUUUUAGAGUCUGAUGGCUUAGCUUGACCACACACGUUGCUUGCCCUGACGUCACUAAGCUAAUCGUUUCCCAAGCGCCAAUGAUUGCAGUCAGUUCAUCGUUCGCCGUAAACUGUUGCAGUACCUUUCUGGUCACUUAAACAAUACUAUUUUAUUUCAUAAUAAUUCAUGCAACAAAGAAAUAUGUGUGGAUGAAACACUUAUUUUAUGUUGAUGCCUCAAUUUUUUUAUCAUGAUUUCUCUGUUACUCAAAUUGCAGUCGCAUCAUCAAUGCUUUUAUUUCUUGGACGGGUUUGUCGUUGAACUUGUUUCUUUAAUUGCUGGCUUUUCUGGACUGUUCUUCUUUGACGCGGUUUCUUUAAACUACUUGCUUAGUCGUAUGCCCAAAUCCACCACAUCAGUAUCUUGCAGCUGCCAGAGCAUAUAGAAACCAGAGCAUAUUUGAACAGUUUCUCUUGCAUCAUCUCUUUUUCCUGUUCCCGUAUUUGUGUCCCGUGUCCAGACCAAAUCAAGCUUCUGCAUAUCUAUUUGUGAGCGUAGAUUUAGAUACACAUAUGUCUGCUGGAGUAGAGCAGGCCUUGGUGAGCGUCUCGAUGGGAGUUAUGAAUUCCCUUCUGAAUAAGCUUACUAUCCUCAUGGAUGAAGAGUAUCUCAAGUUCAGCAACAUGUCAAAGGAGUUGUCAUUCAUCAGGGAUGAACUCAGCACCAUGAAUGCCUUCCUGGAGAUUCUAGCAGACAAGGAGGAGCUGGAUCCCCUGACCAAGGAUUGGAAGAGCCAAGUAAGGGAGAUGGCCUAUGAUAUUGAGGACUGGAUUGAUGAGGUCGUUCGUCAUGCCAGCCAGGAUGGUACCACAGCUGGUUUCAUUCAGAAGAUCAUUCAGCAUAUCAAUAUGGUGAGAGCCAAAAUUCGUAUUUCCAAUGAAAUACAACAGAUCAAGACUCGUGUCAUGGAGGUGAGUCAUCGUCGCAAAAGGUAUAAGAUUGAUGUGAGCGCCUCUAGAUCUAAAUAUGUGCCUAUUGACCCUCGCCUCCACACACUUUAUGCUGAUGAAGAUGGCCUUGAGGGCAUUGAUGGCCCAAGGAAUCAACUGGUCAAGUGGCUGCUAGAUGAAGAUCAGCGGUUGAGGGUGGUAUCUAUUGUAGGAAUUGGUGGUCUUGGUAAGACCACGCUGGCCAGUGAGGUGUACAAAAGGAUUGGGGAGAAAUUUGAUUGUCAGGCAUUUGUAUCAGUCUCGCAGAAACCAGACAUGACAAGGAUUCUCACUAAUUUGUUUUCACAACUUGGGCAACAACCACCUUCUCAAACUAGAGAGGUGCAGAACCUCGUUAAUGUUCUAAGGAAACAUCUGCAAGACAAAAGGUAUUUUGUGAUACUUGAUGAUAUAUGGGAUGAAUCAGCAUGGGAUAUUCUUAGAUGUGCCCUCCCCAAAAAUGAGCAGGCUAGUAGAGUUAUAACAACUACACGCAUUGAAACUGUAGCUAUUGCUUGUUGCAGUUAUCGCAAUGAGUAUGUUUAUAAGAUGCAGCCACUAGAUAACCAACUAUCAAAAAGAUUAUUUUUUAGAAGAAUAUUUGAUUCUGAGGAUGCCUUCCCCGAACAACUUAGAGAAGUUUCAACAGAAAUUUUAGACAAAUGUAGUGGUUUGCCACUUGCCAUUGUUAGUAUUUCUAGCCUUUUAGCUAAUCAAGCAACCACAAGAGUUGAACAGUGGGAGCACGUGAGGAAUUCUUUGGGCAAUAAGUUUGGGAAAUGCUCUGCAUUGGACGGUAUGAGACAGAUAUUGCAGCUUAGCUACAAGAACCUUCCUUAUUAUCUCAAGGCCUGCUUUCUUUAUCUUGGCAUUUAUCCAGAGGAUUACACGAUUAGGAAGAAAGAUGUGGUCACGCAAUGGAUAGCUGAAGGUUUUGUUAGUAAGGUGCAGGGACAGGAUGCAGAAGAUGUUGCAAGUAAUUAUUUCAAUGAGCUAGUUAAUAGGAGCAUGAUUCUACCUAGUGAUGUCAACUACCAAAACGAGGUGUUAUCUUGUAAGGUACACGAUAUGAUGCUGGAUCUUAUCUUAACUGAGUGUGCAGAAGAGAAUUUUAUGACAAUAAACGAUGCAUCCAAUGUUUCAUUAUGCCUGCACAAUACUGUCCGUCGACUCUCCAUUCAAUGUGAUAAUGGAAAACAUAGCAUCAUAUCUCCAGCCACAGAUCUAUCACAUGUUCGAUCUCUUGCAGGUUUUGGAGCCUCCAAUUUCUUGCAGAUGCAUCCUUUUUUAGAGUUCACUUUUCUUCGAGUUUUAAUUGUUGAGUUCUCAAAUGUUUCCAACAAGAUGAAAUUGGAUUUCACUGGCAUAUGCAAAUUGUUUCAACUGAGAUAUCUGAAGAUUGAAGCCAGCAUUAAUGCACAGUUACAAUUACCUGCACAAAUUGGGGAGCUACAACAGUUGGAGACCCUGGACAUAGAAUGGGGAUCACUUGUUAUUCCACCUGAUAUCAUUUAUUUGCCUCGCUUGAGUCAUCUCAUAAUUCCAGAAAGUACCAGAUUACCUGAUGGGAUUGGCAAUAUGAAGUCUCUAGUAACUCUGCAGUCCUUUGACCUUGGGGAGAACUCAAUUGAUAACGUCAGGGGUCUUGGCCAACUCACCAAUCUAAGAGAUCUCAAUCUCUGCAACUCUGGAACAUCUACCUCCAAUAUAGCAUUAUGUGUUGAUGUUUUGUGCUCUUCUCUUGAGGUGCUGCACAACCUCAAACAUCUAUACUUGUACUGGCCGGGUAUUUGUGGCAGUGGUUUGAGUUCAUUACACCCUUCUCCCUGCCAUCUCGAGACACUAGAAAUGACAUAUUGGUGGUUCUCCAAAGUCCCCGAAUGGGUUGGUGAACUCCAAAAGCUCCAAGUCUUGAAGAUUGCGGUUACAGAACUGUCAAUUGAGGGUUUCCUUGUCCUUGCACGGUUGCCUGCCCUCACAAACCUAGGAUUGCGCACCCAAGUACCACCUAGAGAGAGUAUCACAAUCCAUGGAAUGGCGUUCCCAGCCCUUAAAUAUUUCAAGUAUUGGUGCAGAAUGCCACGGCUGACCUUUGAGGCUGGGGCGAUGCCGAAGCUUGAGAGGAUCAAGCUCCGCUUCAAAGAAAUCGUUGAAACACCUUCUGGCAUUGUGCACCUGUUGGGCCUCAAAGAGGUAUUUCUAGAAAUUGGUGGCCACGGUGGAAAGGUGCCACCCAGGAGAGGAGGCGCAUUGUCUGAGCUGAUUAUGACCAUCGAGACACAUCCAAGUCAUCCUAAACUCAAGAUUGUCAGUUGUCCACAUCUGUAGUACGAUGAUUAAAGGCAUAUAAGGAGAGCAAACGACGCUGAUACUUCUGUGCUCCAAAUGGAUUCUUACAGGUUCAGUAGACUUGGUUUUCUCAGCCCUGCAGAUCCCUUCUUCCAUUGUUGGAGAGCUUGCCAAUGCGGACUUGAUUGAUUGGGAGUUGUCAGCAGCUUGUCCCUGCAACACAAACAAUUUUCAGAACAGUGUAACCAAAAGCAAUGCAAUACUGUAUGGAAACUAUUCAGGGUGUUGGUGCUCGGCUGCAGAAAUAUGCAGCUGCUGGUGCUGCCACUGCAGUGAUUUUUAGAGAAGACAAAGAUACAACUGUAUCCACUGACAAUGCCGCUCAAAUACUAUUGAUGGGCAUGGCUUGAGUUCCAGGAUCCCUUCUCUGUGUCAUGUUGACAGACUGAUUUGGUUGUCCCACUGAAUUGGCGAGCACAAUCUCCAAGAUUGAACCAUUCAGCCCACAAGGUCAGAAAAAGGUUUGCCGAAUUAUAUUAGUAGGGCGAUUCUAACAGCCAAGAAGAGACUGGCCAUGUUUGGUACAACUUCUUGAGAAACGUUUUCCUAAGAAACUGCACAAAUGGAAGAAAAGCUAAGUGCUUUCCCGAGAAGAAAGAGGCCGAGGAACGUCGUGUUAUGUACUUCUGUAUUCAGUUCAUCGAUGCAAAGACACUUCAACAAACCUCUGCCCCAAAUGAACAGCUCUAUUUUGGUACAAGAAAUUACUAGUAGCAUCUAUACACGAAUAUAUGAUGUAUGUAUGUAUGCAUGUUUUCCUUUACUAUAAUAAUAAACUACUA